rnacentral:tRNA from 1 species
GCGUCUGUAGCUCAGGGGAUAGAGCAUCGGCUUCCGAAGCCGGUGGUCGCAGGUUCAAAUCCUGCCAGACGCG